rnacentral:rRNA from 1 species
UACGUAGGUGGCAAGCGUUGUCCGGAUUUAUUGGGUUUAAAGGGUGCGUAGGCGGGUAUUUAAGUCAGAGGUGAAAGACGGCCGCUCAACGGUCGCAGUGCCUUUGAUACUGGAUAUCUUGAGUGCAGACGAGGUCUGGUGGAAUGGAUGGUGUAGCGGUGAAAUGCUUAGAUACCAUCCAGACACCAAUUGCGAAGGCAGCAGACUAGGGUGCAACUGACGCUGAGGCACGAAAGUGCGGGGAUCAAACAGG